rnacentral:pre_miRNA from 1 species
AUCACUUGGGGAUCUUCUUAAAAUGCAAAUUCUGAUCCAGUAGAACUAACAGAACCGAGAUUCUGCAUUUAUAGUAAGCUCCCAAGCAAUGCCAA